rnacentral:rRNA from 1 species
UACGUAGGGUGCAAGCGUUGUCCGGAAUUAUUGGGCGUAAAGAGCUCGUAGGCGGUCUGUUGCGUCGGCUGUGAAAACCCGGGGCUCAACUCCGGGCCUGCAGCCGAUACGGGCAGACUAGAGUUCGGCAGGGGAGACUGGAAUUCCUGGUGUAGCGGUGAAAUGCGCAGAUAUCAGGAGGAACACCGGUGGCGAAGGCGGCAUCCUGGACCGGUAUUGACGCUGAUGCGCGAAAGCCAGGGGAGCAAACGGG